rnacentral:rRNA from 1 species
CCUACGUGAGGCAGCAGUGAGGAAUAUUGGUCACUGGGCGCAAGCCUGAACCAGCCAAGUAGCGUGAAGGAUGACUGCCCUACGGGUUGUAAACUUCUUUUAUAAAGGAAUAAAGUGAGGCACGUGUGCCUUUUUGUAUGUACUUUAUGAAUAAGGAUCGGCUACCUCCGUGCCAGCAGCCGCGGUAAUCCGUAGGAUCCGAGCGUUAUCCGGAUUUAUUGGGUGUAAAGGGGGCGUAGAUGGUUUGUUAAGUCAGUUGUGAAAGUUUGCGGCUCAACCGUGAAAUUGCAAUUGAUACUGGCAGCGUGGAGUACAGUUGAGGUAGGCGGAAUUCGUGGUGUAGCGGUGAAAUGCUUAGAUAUCACGAAGAACUCCGAUUGCGAAGGCAGCCUACUAAACUGCCACUGACAUUGAUGCUCGAAAGUGUGGGUAUCAAACAGGAUUAGAUACCCUGGUAGUC